rnacentral:rRNA from 1 species
GAUGAACGCUGGCGGCGUGCCUAAUACAUGCAAGUCGAGCGAACGGACGAGAAGCUUGCCUUUCUGAUGUUAGCGGCGGACGGGUGAGUAACACGUGGAUAACCUACCUAUAAGACUGGGAUAACUUCGGGAAACCGGAGCUAAUACCGGAUAAUAUUUUGAACCGCAUGGUUCAAAAGUGAAAGACGGUCCUGCUGUCACUUAUAGAUGGAUCCGCGCUGCAUUAGCUAGUUGGUAAGGUAACGGCUUACCAAGGCAACGAUGCAUAGCCGACCUGAGAGGGUGAUCGGCCACACUGGAACUGAGACACGGUCCAGACUCCUACGGGAGGCAGCAGUAGGGAAUCUUCCGCAAUGGGCGAAAGCCUGACGGAGCAACGCCGCGUGAGUGAUGAAGGUCUUCGGAUCGUAAAACUCUGUUAUUAGGGAAGAACAUAUGUGUAAGUAACUGUGCACAUCUUGACGGUACCUAAUCAGAAAGCCACGGCUAACUACGUG